AUCGUUGCCCGAUGCCAAUUUCCUCUUGAUAAGGAGGUAUGCUGUGCAGGGUGAAUGAUGGCUUCCCGUGAGCACUGCUGCCUCAUGGUUGGUUGAAAAUUGAGUCCUUGGUAGCGUGUGCCAUGAUAGAUGGUGGUUGAGUGAUGCACGAGACCAUAUCAUGUGAGACUCUACCAAACUUGGCCUCUGUGACCCACAUGCGUCUUUGAACGCUCAUGA
rnacentral:misc_RNA from 1 species